rnacentral:misc_RNA from 1 species
UUUUACAAUUCCACCUAUCAAAAUGUGAACUGGAACCUAAUUUAUGUGAUGAAAAGCGAACAACACAAUGUGAUGAAUAUGCAGUGUGCUGUCCAAUAGGCAAUGAGCAAUAUGGUUGCUGCCCAUUCACUGGAGGUACCUGCUGUCCAGGCACCAAUCAUUGCUGCCCGCCUGGUUUUUCGUGCACAACUAUAGGAACUUGCAAGAGGACAACAACCUUAUCCAACCCAGUAUCUCCGUUUCGAUCAGGCUAA